GGAAGGCAGACCAGUGGGUGAAAUUAUCGGGACCAAUUGUGCGCACAGCCCAUGAAUCAAAUCAUGGCGGCGUCGUGUGAAUGAAACGGACCCUUCCGGGUGUAUAAAGCACCUUUCAGGUGAGGGAAGGAAAAUCCUCGGGGGCUAACGACCCCUCGAAGGGAAGGACAUCACCCACCAAGAAGAAGCACCCGGCUAACUCCCGGGCCAGCAGCCGCGGUAAUACGGAGGGGUGCGAGCGUUAAUCCGAAAUUACUGGGCGUAAAAGCGCGCGUAGGCGGCCUGAUAAAGCCGGUUGUGAAAGCCCCCGGGCUCAACCCUGGGAACGGCAUCCGGAACUGUCAGGGCUAGAGUGCAGGAGAGGAAGGUAGAAUUCCCGGUGUAGCGGUGAAAUUGCGUAGAGAUCGGGAGGAAUACCAGUGGGCGAAGGCGGCCUUCUGGACUGACACUGACGCUGAGGUGCGAAAGCGUGGGUAGCAAACAGGAUUUAGAUACCCUGGUAGUCCACGCCGUAAACGAUGUCGACUAGCCGUUGGGGUCCUUGAGACCUUUGUGGCGCAGUUAACGCGAUAAGUCGACCGCCUGGGGAGUACGGCCGCAAGGUUAAAACUCAAAUGAAUUGACGGGGGCCCGCACAAGCGGUGGAGCAUGUGGUUUAAUUCGAUGCAACGCGAAGAACCUUACCUACCCUUGACAUCGAGAGAACUUGGCAGAGAUGCCUUGGUGCCUUCGGGAACUCUCAGACAGGUGCUGCAUGGCCGUCGUCAGCUCGUGUUGUGAAAUGUUGGGUUAAGUCCCGUAACGAGCGCAACCCUUGUCCCUAUUUGCCAGCGAUUCGGUCGGGAACUCUAGGGAGACUGCCGGUGACAAACCGGAGGAAGGUGGGGACGACGUCAGGUCAUCAUGGCCCUUACGGGUAGGGCUACACACGUGCUACAAUGGCCGGUACAAAGGGUUGCGAAGCCGCGAGGUGGAGCCAAUCCCGAAAAGCCGGUCUCAGUCCGGAUCGGAGUCUGCAACUCGACUCCGUGAAGUCGGAAUCGCUAGUAAUCGUGAAUCAGAAUGUCACGGUGAAUACGUUCCCGGGCCUUGUACACACCGCCCGUCACACCAUGGGAGUGGACUGCACCAGAAGUGGUUAGCCUAACUCGGAGGGCGUCACCCACGGUUGUUACCU
rnacentral:rRNA from 1 species